AGAGUUUUUCCCUCCUCUUAAAUCGAAGGGA
rfam:Cucumber fruit mottle mosaic virus, complete genome.